CCUUGGUUAAAUCACGGUGCAGGUAAAAUAUGGCUUUGUAGGGCCUCUUUCUCUCUCUCUCGAGUUUCCUUCCAGCGCUUUCCCCCCAGGGCACCCAUGUCCCCCUGCCCAGGUGCAUUAUUGGCCCCCCGCAGGCAGUCUGUUCCCAAACUGAAAUCAGUCAAAGACUCUGCGCCUAGAAGUCCAGUGACUGACUGACAGGACACUGACAUGUAACCUCCAGGAAUGCUGUGGAAAGAUGCUAAGAAGAAGAAAGGAAGGGCGGCUGGCAAGAGCAGUAAGGGCGAUGAGUUUCAUCUGUGAUUUAGAAAGAAGCUUCAACAAGGAAAAGAUGUCUUUGUCCCCACAGAUUUCACUCCAGCUGCAUUUGGAUUCAAAGUGAGGUGAAGAGAGGUAGAGUUAAAAACUAAGGAGACGAUCUCCGGCUCUGGACGCGCAGGCCCAGCGGCCAUGGCUCACGAGCCCAGCU